GCCUGAGUGGCUCACGCCGUUAAGCAUCUGACUUCAACUCAGGUCACGAUCUCACGGUUUGUGGGUUCGAGCCCCCCAUCGGGCU
rnacentral:tRNA from 1 species